GUCAGAAUGGCCGGGCGGUCUAAGGCGCCAGAUUUAAGCUCUGGUUCUAGAGAGCGUGGGUUCGAACCCCAUACGACA